CAGGGGAAGGGCAUCUGUCAGCAGGGUCAUCCAGAAGGAGCAAGGAGCAAUAUGGGCAGUCAUCAACAUCAGAAGCAGCUUGGCAGCUUCAGAGAACCUCUUCUCACCAUACAGCCGGUGGAAUUCUCGACAUGUUGGCUUCAACAGCUCCCACAGACUUGUUUGGAGACUGUAUGGUGAACUGGACUGGUUAAAAAUGAUCUGCUGAAUAAAACAUGAAAAGGGAUUAUCCUUCAGCCAAGUUAGUUCCCUAGUUCACAGUGCGGUCCAUCACACAGCUGUACUGGAGCGAGUGAAAGGGUAGUGCAUAAGGUAGAGCUAUUGCCAAAAGAAAUGUUUAUCACAGCAAGGCUUAAGAGGACUGGAUUGUUAGAUAAAGUCAACUUGUUUAAUCUCUGCAUCUGACAGAGUGAAAAAGGGGUAGAAAAGAAAUAGUUAAGAUAUUGCAGAUGAAAGUACCAAACAAUGUUAUUUUCUACUCCAGAAGCAUGUGCUUGGUCUGAGGGAGAGACAGUCUCAGUCUGCCUGCAGGACCUUUUCAGGAUGGCCACCUUCUCCCCGUUCCUACAAUCCUACUGUAGCAGCAGCAUCUGAGAGCUUGACUCAAACUCACCUGUCUGAUAUUAGCGUAGCAAAAGCUGCAUCCUUAGCUCUGAUGCUCCAAGACAGGGCAGAGCCCAAGCGAUUGUUCCGCAGUGCUUUCAUGGCCAUGAUUUUACAGAUGCUACGAACUUAGGCGAAAGCCACAGGACAAGAGGGAAAGCAAGAAUCAGUUUCAGUAGUGCCAGUGUUAUCACUAUAAACGAAGAGAUUCAAGAAACAAUCACCUUGUUCAUGCAUCUGUCUCUGCUCGCAGAUCCUCAGCACUUUGAGGGCCUUUUGUUCUGUGUUAAGGGGUAUCCGCUCAAUAUGCAGCUCCAAAUAAACCCUGCCAUAUUCUGGACAGUGGUCAAAGUAAUCUACCCCCAGCUGCCACAGGCUGAGAGAGAGGAGAAGAAAAGUCAAGCGUUCCAAUCAUGCACGUCUUAAAUAAACACAACAUUAAAGUCACAAGGAAAACGUGAGUCUGGAUUAAUAAGAGUUAGCUCUGAUUAACUUAGCAUUCAGAUCUAAAAUGGCUUUUAGUUUGUAUGAAAUAUCAGUUGCCUAUUUUAACAACUCAGGAAUGCCUGCAUCUCACAAGUGCUUUGGUGCAACUUGCUCUGUACUGAAAAAGCUAUCCUAGUCAAUAUGCUUGAUGGGUUUUUAUAGAUAGUUUUUGUCUUUAGUUCAGGAAAGAAAAUGCAGUAGCGUUGUACAAUCCCUUACGGAUACCUUUGCUGAAAUCCUAACAGCCACUUCACUAAGUUUUGCCUUUUUACUUUAUUAACAUGAAGUUAUUUGCUUUGGUUGCCUUGAUGUUAGUCUAGCCUCUAAGCAGAGGAGAGUUGCUACCUGUAAUGGGAGAAGAGUCCUGAGGCAUACUCUAGUAGAAGGAAUUCACGCAUAUUUGAACCAAAACUGAAAAAAACAAAAACCAAAAACCACAGGGAUUAUUAUUUGCACCUGCUGAAUUAUUUCAAAAAUACUUUUAAUCUAUAUAGCAUAUUUUCUCAUGGGCUAUCUUAAUAAGCUUCAUACCUCAGGCCUAAGCAUGUACGGCAGCUUUCUCCUUGGGAAGGCCUGCCAAUUAUUUGCAGCACUUAGCAAAUAUAAUUUACAAGAAGCAGUCAGUGCUUUAAGCAACUUAAACUUCAAGAGAAUUCAGAUAGCAGCAUUCAAUUGCUCAAAUUUUUAAAAAACAUGAGUAUGAAAAUUCUUUUUAGAUAAGGUUCUCACCAUACCCAUAAUCACAAACAUUGAGGCCCUUGAUUACAUUUCAGCUGAAAUUAUAUAUUAAAAAAAAAAAAAAACUUUGCACUGAGGCGCUGUUGAAAUAGCAUGUCAAAUUCAUCAGGUCAGCAACUGCUUCUGCUCCUCAGAGCAUCUGGGCUGCUUGUAACUUCUUGGGCACAUGCAGCACCUUCAUUUUCCAUCUUCUGCAAAUGCCCAACAUGCCCUCUUUCAACCAAAAUACACAUGCUGUUUUGAUUAUUCUUGUUUCUGUGUGUCUGAAUAAUGAGUGCAAAUAAACACUUACUAGAGAUUGUGAGACUGCAGGAGUUUGCAGUGAUCCAGUAGGUCAGUCAGAUGAGCCACAAACCACCAGUUGCUCAGGGCAAUGCUAAAUUUGAAGCAAGCAAAAGAAAGAAAAAGCUAAGCCUACAACUGCCAAGGAAUAUGUCAGGUUUUCCACAGGUUUUUUUUUUUUUUUUUUUUUUUUUUUAAACUGUCACAGAAGCUAUAUUACUGUAUAAAGUCUGGCUGCAAUGUCCCAGACCUAAUAGAAUACUUUUAAUUGCUGCCUGCUUCACAUGUUCUUGUUGAGUCCUUUAAAAGGAUAUCUCAGUAGUCUGUACCCAUACUCUCUACCCCAAAUACACUGGGAUCCCAGUGACUUCUGGAGUGAAGUCACAGAGAAGAAAUACCAUAAAACUAGGGACUCAAAAACUUCAAAACCCAACCUGCAUUCCUUGAUCACUUGAUGCAUCUCAAAUUCAAAGGCUGCCAUUAAAAUGGUGUCUAGAGGCUCAGGGCUGCUUUCUCCACCCAGGAACAGGUCCAUACUAGACUGUGGAGUAAGAUAACAAGACAUGAUAAAUGAAAAAAGUGAGACACAAUAUAAAGGAAGACAUUUGUUUGGAUGUAAUAGUCUCAUUUAGGUUAUUUUGUGGGAAAGAAUAUGCCUUAGAGAUGGAAACAAAUUAACAGAAAAGAUACAAUAUUGUAGUGUAAGGAGGCUGGGAAAACAAUUUGCAGAAACAAGACUGGUAACAUUAGACACUCAAGAGACUCAGUCCUCAACAAUCUGCCCGUAGUAUCAGUCCCAGUCCACUUCCAAAUUCUAGGAAAAAUUUCAAGGGUAUAUAGUUACUGAAAGAUGUCAAUCCUCCCAAAGCUGUUCUGUUUUAAAUAGAGUAGCCCUUGUGCGUUAAACUGUGGAGAAUACAAAAAUAGUUCUAUUUCAUGCCUGUGCAUAGAAACGCAGUUCCAUUGGCUUCACAGUUGGAUGGGAGUACAGGAGUCGGGUAACCAGAAAGUGGUACCAGGUCGUCAUGAGUUCCUUUUUCUCCAGUAUGGCAUUCUCAUCGCCCAGCAGGAUCUAACGAGAGAAAAGCAUGAGAGUAACUCUGCAAAUACGGCAACGUAAGUAGCUGCAUCUUAGUUCUUCAGGGACAUUACUCCCAUUUUGUAAAGUUCAUAACGUAAUCAAAAUUAAACAGCAAAGGACAGAACUUCUUCUCAGAGCUCAAUUCCGUAACCAGCAUUAUGGUCUGGGACAGGAAGAGCAAAUAAUCUGCCAGGGUUGCAAAGUCUGUGGAAAAGCCAAGAACACAGUACAGAAGCCUUGGCCUGAAAUCUUCUGAUUUAAUGAGCAGAUUGUCUAGCAUAUCAAAGUUACUUAUGACUCCUGAAGUACAAAAGGAUGAACUCUGUACUUGUCUAGAGUCUCUUUCCCCGUCAUCCAAAACGCACCUUGCAGAUGGAUUCCAUGUGGGAAUUGGAAGCAAAAGUUCCAUCCUGUAGAUACCGCUGACAUUCUUCAUGCCAGUGCUGCCAUUUCAGCUCCAUCUCGGUCAGUGUCUGGGUGUUGCCAAGCUGAACACAAGAUGUAUGCACGUAAGAUAAAGGAAAUGUCAAGUCAAAUCGCAGUGAGCAUUUGGGCUCAAUUCACGCAGCCGUUCAUGCUAAAAAGCUAAACACUGGGCUGCCACCAGAAUUUUUCAUGUAGUUCUCCAGUUGCAUUUGAAAUGUUUUCCUUUACCCAUCUAAAUAAGGCAAAGUGACAGACUGUACAGGAACCCCCAAAACAACUACAGUGACGCAGCUGCAAUUUUUCCUCCUCAAGGAGAUCACUGCAACAGAGAAACGCUGUUGGUAAAGUCUUCAAAGAAUAUUCCCUGCAAUACUGUGAAAAAGUUUUCAACAGGAACUGUUUCAGACAAAUGGACAAUGUAUCCUGCUGCAAAAAUGAUCUUUCUGGCUAUGCUGGUUUUUCACCUAACAGUUCUUUUCUGUGUAGUUGGGUCUUCUGGGCAAUUCAAGAACGCAAAUAUUACUACUGAAAGGGGUAAUGACUGAGAUACUUUAAGCAUCAAUAUGCUGUGAUGUUACAGGAGCCACUGUGGAGAUGAAACAGACUGGUCUAACAGUGUCAUCCCUACAGAAUUGCAUGAAAAGCUGCUUUGUACAUACGCUGGGCACAGGCAUCUUCUUCAUCAAGUCAUCCAAAAUUCUGCACAUGUUCACUGAUGUGGGAUUGGCACUGGCUUCCUUAGAGAGUAAGUGCCGUGCUUCAUCCAUUCGGCCUUGCAGCACAAAGAUAUCCACCUGCAAAAACCACCCGUGCGUGAGCACUGCACUGUGCAAGCUACAAAAUACCCAGGUGGAGCACCAGCGGGGAAUUUUAACUUGUGAUUUAUUCGAGUUAAGUGGAGUUUAAAUGCUUAAACUUUAGGCUCUGUUAAUUCAAAUACAAGUCUUGACCUCUGUGGAUCUCAAAUGAAAUGAUCACGUUAGAAAUGAAGGGCAGCAUGAUCUUCACAAUGGUUUCAUCUUAAAAUUAUAUAUGCAGAUAGUAGCAGUAUCCUACAUAUCAGUUUGAGAUGUGGGAUCACUGUCGAGUGGGGAGGAGGAAGGCAAAAAAGAAAAAGAUGAAUUCUCUUCAUAUAAGAAGUUUAUAGAUGACCAUACUCACCACAUUCCAAAAGAGCUCAUGUUUUGAUGGAUUUUCACUGCUCAGAACUUCACGAACCAUGUUGUCCACAUCACAGACAUGAAGUCGAACCCAGUCAAGGAGGCGAAGCAGGAGGGGACCAGCUUUAUGCAGAGAAGAUAUCAUUCUGUUACUUCCCAAUUAUGUUGCUUGUUAUUUUAUACAAUUCCAACCUUAAUGGUUUGACAACCAUUAGAUGAGACUUACUAAUCAGAUUUCUAUCUGCCAUACUCAUAUUACAAAGGGACAGAGAUCCUUAAGUAGUCAGGCCAUGGAAGCAUCAGAUGGCUGAGAAAAUAACAUGUGGGAAAUUUUAGACAGAAGAGGAAAACUCAGUCUGUAAUAGCUUCCUCCAUGAUGUAGAAGGACACUUAUCUAAGAAACCCCAACUUCAGGACAUAGUUGAGUGACUCAGAUCAUAGAUCUUGGAAUGCCAAAAGAAGCAUACAGUGUUUUUCUUCAUUUCAUUUACCAUCCUUCAUUAUUAACUGGAUAUGAGGCACUAGGUAAUCUGGCACUAGGUAAUUAACUUUUCUUCAAAUUAAUAAUCUACAUUUGUGAACCUCUCUUCUGAAUUCUGGGACUGAACAGAUAGCAUGUUUGUUUGCCUGCUCUGAUCAUUUCCUUCUUUAAAAUGCUGGUAUAAGCAAACUGAAUUCAACGACAGCAUCCUAAAGGUAAAGGAGUUGGACCAGAGAAUGUGUAAAUGUUACUUGGCAUCAUCUUAAACAGUUGAUACUUAAAAAUGUUUUUAUGCUUAAAAGUCAAAUAAAUUUACAACAAAUGUUGA